UGGAGUUAAAAUUCAUUUAAAUUAACGACCUAAACAUCUUCAACCAAAAAAGAAACUAUACCUUUUUCCCCAUCAAGGGAAGCAAUGUAGCUAUAUGAUUCAUGAACAACAAUGAAAUAUAUAUAUAAAAAAUCCUUUUGAAAAAUAACAAAUAGAGCCGACCGGGCAGGACCAGGCUGGCCCGGUCCGACUCAAUGGCUUGACACUCACCGCCACCAAUCAGGCACUUUUAAUCUCCGGGCUCUAUUUACAGCAAGUCUUUCUGCAGGAACCUUAUCCCGUACCUGCCUCCAUAUCAUAUUAACAGCAUCGUCUUUUUUUGGAGGAUACUGAUAUUCAUAAUGAUGCGAUAUUUCUUUGAGUAUUUUCCACAUUUCAAGCCAUUUUUCUUUUGAGAUUUUUCUUAGUUGUUGGACCAUGUAACCAGGAAUUAACGCCUCUUCAACAGAGAAAAAAAUUGAAAAUUUGUUGUAGUCUAGUUCGUCUUCGAACGGUAGUUCAAUUUGGUCACUCACAAUCACAGGAACACAAUGGCUCACAAUAGCAUCAAACAGUCGGUUUGAAGAUGGAGUGUCUCCAGCUGGAUUUAGACAGAAUUUGGAUGAACGCAUGCCCUGAGAAGACUGCUUUUAUGCUUUCUCCUGUUGCAUAGCUAGCUUCAUAGUGAACAUCAUCGUAUCCUUUCAAUAUUUUUUCCAACUUAGCUCGUACCACGCCUUCCUAUUUUCUCACUGUUCUUCCUUUAAAGAAAAGAAGCGUAGUCCGUGAGUUGUAAGGGUCUAGAGAAUUAUCAUCCAAGAAAGACUCCAUUACAUGCAUAUAAGGGGCAACAACGUCUUUUUGCAAAUUCGACAUGCGUUUAGAGUAACGCCCGAA
rnacentral:lncRNA from 1 species